UUCUUUUUUUUUUAUUCGAUUCGAUUUCCAAAUAUAGCCAUUAUUGGGUGAUAAUAACAUAACAAUAAUGAUUAUAUAUGUAGCUAAUAAUAGAGCCAUAGAGCUACACACGAUUUUGAAAUUCACAUUGUACCUACAAUCUUGUACAAUGAUAGCUAAUCGGCCAUUGAUGGUAGCCAAAAUUUUUCAAAACAACGAUAUCGAUGAUUAUGAAUGGAUGAAUGAAUCAGAUGUAAAUUGAUUUUUUUUUCUUUUAUUGCCCAGCAACAACAACGACAACAGAAAUUGAUUAAGUAAACUAAUCAAAUAAUUAUCAACUGUGCAUUCACAUUGGUUUCGGAUAUUGCCUCAAAACUUAUCCAGCUUUUUUUUCCUGCAGAAUUUAUCCGAAUUCAUUCAACCAGAAUAUAGUGAAUGAAGAUUGGCGAACGUGACGUGAUGUAUAUAUAUAUUAUAAUUAAAACGAAUAAAAUAUUGAUAUACAAGAUUAAUGAAUAUGCAAAACGAUAAUUCCAUCUAUCGAGAGCUGAUUAUUCAUAUUGGUAUCAGAAACAACAACAACAACAAC